rnacentral:rRNA from 1 species
UACGAAGGGGGCUAGCGUUGCUCGGAAUCACUGGGCGUAAAGCGCACGUAGGCGGCUUUCUAAGUCAGGGGUGAAAUCCUGGAGCUCAACUCCAGAACUGCCUUUGAUACUGGGCAUCUUGAGUACGGGAGAGGUGAGUGGAACUCCGAGUGUAGAGGUGAAAUUCGUAGAUAUUCGGAAGAACACCAGUGGCGAAGGCGACUCACUGGCCCGUUACUGACGCUGAGGCGCGAAAGCGUGGGGAGCAAACAGG